GAGGUGUGGAUAGGGGAGAAAUUCCAAUCGAACCCGGAGAUAGCUGGUUCUCCUCGAAAUAGCUUUAGGGCUAGCCUUCAGUUAGUCUGCCGCAGGUAGAGCACUGAAUUUCCUAGGGGGCGUCAAAGCCUACCGAAGAAUAUCAAACUGCGAAUGGCGGACAGAUGAUGCUGGGGAGUCAGACUGCACGAGAUAAGUUGGGUGGUCAAAAGGGAAAGAGCCCAGACCUACAGCUAAGGUCCCAAAGUGCGUGUUAAGUGGAAAAGGAUGUGGGAUUUCGAAGACAACUAGGAUGUUGGCUCAGAAGCAGCCACACAUUAAAAGAGUGCGUAAUAGCUCACUAGUCGAGAGGUCCUGCGCCGAAAAUGUCCGGGGCUGAAACACGACACCGAAGCUUAGGAACAAAGAAACCAAGGUUUCUAUAUGUUGGUAGAGGAGCAUUGUUAGCGGAACGAAGCCAUACCGGAAGGAGUGGUGGACUGCUAAGAAGAGAGAAUGCCGGAAUGAGUAGCGAGAUUGAAGUGAGAAUCUUCAAGGCCGAAUAUCUAAGGUUUCCAGGGUAAAGCUGAUCUGCCCUGGGUAAGUCGGGGCCUAAGGCGAGGUCGAAAGACGUAGCCGAUGGACAACAGGUUGAAAUUCCUGUACUGCGAUAUAUCAGAAAUGUGGGGACACAGAAGGAAAGUGUGAGCCGGGAAAGGAAAGACCGGUGCAAGCACAGGAGGAGAGAUACAGGCAAAUCCGUAUUUCAAUCCAAUGGUGUUACGCGGAGCGAACAAAAGUAGCGAAGCACACAGACCAUCUGUCGAGAAAAGCCGCUAUUGUGUAUACCGUACCCGUACCGUAAACCGACACAGGUGGAUGAGGAGAGAAUCCUAAGGCCGGCGGGAGAAGCAUUGUUAAGGAACUCGGCAAAAUGACCCCGUAACUUCGGGAGAAGGGGUGCUCACGCAAGUGAGCCGCAGAGAACUGGCCCAAGCAACUGUUUAGCAAAAACACAGGUCUAUGCAAAACCGAAAGGUGAGGUAUAUGGGCUGACGCCUGCCCGGUGCUGGAAGGUUAAGAGGAGAUGUUAGAGCAAUCGAAGCAUUGAAUUUAAGCCCCAGUAAACGGCGGCCGUAACUAUAACGGUCCUAAGGUAGCGAAAUUCCUUGUCGGGUAAGUUC
rnacentral:rRNA from 1 species